rnacentral:miRNA from 1 species
UUUAUUAAUAUAGUAUUAACAAGUCACAUUAUGAAUCAAAAUCGAAAAUUCUAAUAAUUGUCUUCUGAUAUAUUUAUAUUAUAUAGAAUAUUU